AGCUCCAAUAGCGUAUAUUAAAGUUGUUGCAGUUAAAAAGCUCGUAGUUGGAUUUCGGGAUGGCCCGGCCGGUCUGCCGCGAGGUACGUUACUGGCCGAGCUGUUCUUCCUCGCCGAGACUGGGUGUGCUCUUAGCUGAGUGUGCUCGGGAUCUGCGACGUUUACUUUGAAAAAAUUAGAGUGUUCAAAGCAAGCCGGUGCCUGAAUACGUAAGCAUGGAAUAAUGGAAUAGGACUUUGGUUCUAUGUUGUUGGUUUCUGGAACCGAAGUAAUGAUUGAGAGAGACAGUUGGGGGCAUUCGUAUUUCGCUGUCAGAGGUGAAAUUCUUGGAUUUGCGAAAGACGAACUACUGCGAAAGCAUUUGCCAAGAAUGUUU
rnacentral:rRNA from 1 species